ACAGGGAUUGCCCUAGUAACGGCGAGUGAAGCGGCAACAGCUCAAAUUUGAAAUCUGGCUCUUUUAGAGUCCGAGUUGUAAUUUGCAGAGGGCGCUUUGGCUUUGGCAGCGGUCCAAGUUCCUUGGAACAGGACGUCACAGAGGGUGAGAAUCCCGUACGUGGUCGCUGGCUAUUGCCGUGUAAAGCCCCUUCGACGAGUCGAGUUGUUUGGGAAUGCAGCUCUAAAUGGGAGGUACAUUUCUUCUAAAGCUAAAUAUUGGCCAGAGACCGAUAGCGCACAAGUAGAGUGAUCGAAAGAUGAAAAGCACUUUGGAAAGAGAGUCAAACAGCACGUGAAAUUGUUGAAAGGGAAGCGCUUGCAGCCAGACUUGCUUGCAGUUGCUCAUCCGGGCUUUUGCCCGGUGCACUCUUCUGUAGGCAGGCCAGCAUCAGUUUGGGCGGUGGGAUAAAGGUCUCUGUCACGUACCUCUCUUCGGGGAGGCCUUAUAGGGGAGACGACAUACCACCAGCCUGGACUGAGGUCCGCGCAUCUGCUAGGAUGCUGGCGUAAUGGCUGUAAGCGGCCCGUCUUGAAACACGGACCAAGGAGUCUAACAUCUAUGCGAGUGUUUGGGUGUCAAGCCCGAGCGCGUAAUGAAAGUGAACGGAGGUAGGAACCCGUAAGGGUGCACUAUCGACCGAUCCUGAUGUCUUCGGAAGGAUUUGAGUAAGAGCAUGGCUGUUGGGACCCGAAAGAUGGUGAACUAUGCUUGAAUAGGGUGAAGCCAGAGGAAACUCUGGUGGAGGCUCGCAGCGGUUCUGACGUGCAAAUCGAUCGUCAAAUUUGGGCAUAGGGGCGAAAGACUAAU
rnacentral:rRNA from 1 species